UGCGGGAUCGUCUAACGGUAGGACACAGGACUUUGAAUCCUGGUAUCUAGGUUCGAUUCCUAGUCCCGCAGCCA
rnacentral:tRNA from 1 species